rnacentral:tRNA from 1 species
UACAUUUAAGUAUAAUGAUGUACGAAAAUUUUUGAAAUUUUAAGAAAUAGUUUAAUUCUAUUAAGUGUAU